rnacentral:rRNA from 1 species
GAUAAACGCUGACAGAAUGCUUAACACAUGCAAGUCUAUGUAGAAGUUUUAGCUUGCUAAAAUAGAAACAUGGCGGACGGGUGAGUAACGUGUAAAGAACUUACCCUCUAGACUGGGAUAACAGAUGGAAACGUCUGAUAAUACUAGAUAAGUUAGAUUUAGGCAUCUAAAUCAAAUGAAAGCAUACGCACUAGAGGAGAGCUUUGCAUCCUAUUAGCUAGUUGGUAAGGUAAUGGCUUACCAAGGCGAUGAUAGGUAGCCGGCCUGAGAGGGUGAACGGCCACAAGGGGACUGAGAUACGGCCCUUACUCCUACGGGAGGCAGCAGUGGGGAAUAUUGGACAAUGGAGGAAACUCUGAUCCAGCAAUUCUGUGUGCACGAUGACGGUUUUAGGAUUGUAAAGUGCUUUUAGUUGGGAAGAAGAAAGUGACGGUACCAACAGAAGAAGCGACGGCUAAAUACGUGCCAGCAGCCGCGGUAAUACGUAUGUCGCAAGCGUUAUCCGGAAUUAUUGGGCUUAAAGGGCAUCUAGGCGGCAUAGCAAGUUGAAGGUGAAAAGCUGUGGCUCAACCAUAGUCUUGCCUACAAAACUGUUAUGCUAGAGUGCUGGAAAGGUGGGUGGAACUACACGAGUAGAGGUGAAAUUCGUAGAUAUGUGUAGGAAUGCCGAUGAUGAAGAUAACUCACUGGACAGCAACUGACGCUGAAGUGCGAAAGCUAGGGGAGCAAACAGG